CUCUGGUAAAGUAAUGAGAAAAUAGAAAACACCAUUUUUUUUUCUUUUUUGCCCAUUUUCUUCUUCCUUUUUUUGCGACUCUCUCUCUCUCGAGACGGAACCGGCUAUUCUCUUCCCUUGAAUCGAUUGAUUUUUGACACCAAUUUUAUACUUCUCCUCUCUUUGAAUUGUUUCGUCGUCUUCAUCUCUUCAUCUCUUCAUCAGCCGUUGUACUUUCCAGUGACAAGAAAGAGAGAGUUCAGAGAGAGAGAGAGCGAGGCAGAUCCUCAUCGUCUUGGUUCUUGUUUCUUCCCCGAUCUCUCGAUUUUCUCCUCCGAUUUAAGAUAAAUAAACCCUCCGAUCUACUACUUGCCCUUGUGUUGGAUCUCGAUUACUACUCGAGUUACUUGGGAUUUGAUUUUGGUUGGAUUAGAUCGGUCAAACUAUUGGAAAUGUUUUGAUAUUAGCUCAACGAUUGGUGUUUGACUUGAUCUUAGUUGAUUUACUUGUUGUAUUUUGCUUCGGAUCCGGAUCAUUUUGACUUGCUUUUUGUCUAUAGAAAUCAGAAAUUUUGAAAUGUUUGUUGAAGUUUGACUUAGAAUCUGUUGAUUUGACUCUGACGGAUGAAGAAACCAAGUGAUCAUAUCUGAUGAUACAUGGCAUGAAUCCUUGCGAUUUUAUCAUCCGAUGAGUAUGGAUUCUUCAAAUCUGGUUUUAUUAUGAGUCUGGUGAUCAUAUUAAUUAAUGAUGGAGGGUUACGCUGAAUUGAAUCUUACACAGAGAUCGAAGCCUGUUUUUGAUUAAUCAAGCUUUUGCUUCUUUCUUGAUGGCCGAUGUUGAUGAUAUUCAAGACAAUGGUACUCGAAUGGUCAAGGUUUAGUCAUUUCUUCCUUACUUUUCAGGUUUUGUGGAUUCUCUCACUUUUUGUUCAGAUAUAUUGAUACAUGGAUUAUAAUACACACUGCUUACUGAGGCUCCUCUUAACCCAAAAGCCAACAGAGAGAAGAUUCGAGACCUUCAAUUCUCCAGCUAUGUAUGUCGCCUUUCAAGAUGUUCUAUCACUUUACGCUAGUGGUCGUACAACCGUUUUGUGUUGGACUCUGGUGAUGGUGUGUCUCACACUGUACCAAUCUACAAAGGUUUCUCUCUUCCACAUGCUAUCCUUCGUCUUGACCUUGAUGGUCGUGACCUUACUGAUUACCUUAUGAAGAUCCUUACCGAGAGAGGUUACAUGUUCACCACAACAGCAGAACGAGAAAUUGUGAGAGACAUCAAAGAGAAGCUUUCUUUUGUUGUUGUGGAUUAUGAGCAAGAGAUGGAGACAUUAAAAACCAGCUCCUGUAUGUAAAAUAUUUUUGGUUUAUUAUUUCUGAAUUAUGUAAACUAUUUUUGUUUUUUUUUAAUGUAAUAUA